rnacentral:rRNA from 1 species
GAUGAACGCUGACAGAAUGCUUAACACAUGCAAGUCUACUUGAAUUUGGGUUUUUUAACUUAGAUUUGGGUGGCGGACGGGUGAGUAACGCGUAAAGAACUUGCCUCACAGCUAGGGACAACAUUUGGAAACGAAUGCUAAUACCUGAUAUUAUGAUUAUAAGGCAUCUUAGAAUUAUGAAAGCUAUAUGCGCUGUGAGAGAGCUUUGCGUCCCAUUAGCUAGUUGGAGAGGUAACGGCUCACCAAGGCGAUGAUGGGUAGCCGGCCUGAGAGGGUGAACGGCCACAAGGGGACUGAGACACGGCCCUUACUCCUACGGGAGGCAGCAGUGGGGAAUAUUGGACAAUGGACCAAGAGUCUGAUCCAGCAAUUCUGUGUGCACGAUGACGUUUUUCGGAAUGUAAAGUGCUUUCAGUUGGGAAGAAAAAAAUGACGGUACCAACAGAAGAAGUGACGGCUAAAUACGUGC